ACCUCGGUAGUUUAAUGGAUCAGCACGACAGACCAGAUAUCUGUAAGUGCGAGUUCGAGUCCUGCCUGAGGUU
rnacentral:tRNA from 1 species